GAGAAGCAGGGCACGUGGCUGCUCCUUUCUUCCUUCCUGUCUGCCUUGCAGAUGGGCAUCCGAUCAAAGAUGGAACCAGAGCAGGACUCACGCCUAUCCUCAGCCCUCUAGCUGGUUUCCAUGCCUCCAUACAGAACAAAUACAUCAGACACAAACAGUAUUCUUUCUAGAUCCUAAAGGACACUGGAAGUUCCCCAAGAACCUCCUGCCCCCACCCCAACAUUUUUUACCAGUUUGCUGAGCUCUGACCACACUGCAGGUGCUAAUACUGGAUCUGCUGAUCGCAGUGGCACUUUCAGCACACAGCCAUGGAAACUGCUGGCAGAUGAGCCACCCGAUAGGCAUCCACUCAAACGUGCAACCAGAGCAAGAUGCAUGCUUAUCCUCAGCCCACUUAAUGGUCUCCAUGCUGCCAUACAGAACAAACAAGUGCUGGCACCAGACCUAUUGAUUGCAGUGGCUCUUUCAACACAUGGCCAUGGAAAUUGCUAGCAGAUGAGCCACCCAGUGAGUAGGGCCAUGCAAGAGAGGGCAUCACAGGGAAGCAGGGCAUGUGGCUGCUCCUUUAUUCCUUCCUGCCUGCCUUGCAGAUGGGCAUCUGAUCAAAGAUGGAACCAGAUGUGGACACUCAUCUCUCCUCAGCCCUCUAGCUGCUCUCCAUGCUGCCAUACUGAUCAGAUAAGUCAGACACAAACAGGAAGCUCCCCAUGAUCCCCCUGCUCUCACUCCAACAUUUUAUACCACUUUGCUGAGCCCUGGCCCCAUUGCAGAUGCUGGCACUGAACCUACUGAUUGCAGUGGCACUUUCAACACACGGCCAUGGAAAUGAUGGACUUCUUGGCACUGACAGAACCAGGCCUCCCCAGCCACCACCAAGCAACCCAUGUCUGCUCCUGGACAAGGCACAAAGUGAAGCAUGAGGAGAGCACACGCCCCGCCAUGAAAUGCACUGUGGUCCUACAGGAUCUGAGGAUCUGCAUGGCAUGGACAGAGGCAGCUCCACAGCACCUUCCAGCUACAGACCCCUCCAUGGACGUACACACACACACACAGACAUGCUCUACCGACAUAAUCAGCUCACCUUAGAAUGGAGUCAGGACCUUGAAUAUGGCACUCAUCAGCAUCUGAAGAAACCAUAUGGACUGUCUACAAUUGAGCUUUAAAUAUAUGGAAGGAAUAAGAAGGUAAAAAAGGAUGGAUGGACCCAACCCAGAAAUAGCAGAGACACCAUAUCCAGAAGAGAAGGCAAGCCCUGUAACUGAGCAUGCUCCUGAUGCCAGAGAUGAAAGUUUAGAAGCGAUGAAGAUUGACAGCCUUCUUCUCUCAACCCCCAGAUGACCACCAAGAAGCUACAACAGAAAAAAAAAAAAAAAAAGAAAAAAAAAAAAACCCUUCAAAUUAAAAUUUCUGAUCCAUUAAACCCC
ensembl:lncRNA